GACGAACGCUGGCGGCGUGCCUAAUACAUGCAAGUUGAGCGCUGAAGGUUGGUACUUGUACCAACUGGAUGAGCAGCGAACGGGUGAGUAACGCGUGGGGAAUCUGCCUUUGAGCGGGGGACAACAUUUGGAAACGAAUGCUAAUACCGCAUAAAAACUUUAAACACAAGUUUUAAGUUUGAAAGAUGCAAUUGCAUCACUCAAAGAUGAUCCCGCGUUGUAUUAGCUAGUUGGUGAGGUAAAGGCUCACCAAGGCGAUGAUACAUAGCCGACCUGAGAGGGUGAUCGGCCACAUUGGGACUGAGACGCGGCCCAAACUCCUACGGGAGGCAGCAGUAGGGAAUCUUCGGCAAUGGACGAAAGUCUGACCGAGCAACGCCGCGUGAGUGAAGAAGGUUUUCGGAUCGUAAAACUCUGUUGGUAGAGAAGAAAGUUGGUGAGAGUGGAAAGCUCAUCAAGUGACGGUAACUACCCAGAAAGGGACGGCUAACUACGUG
rnacentral:rRNA from 1 species